AUGGCCACAGCCUCAGUCCUUCAGACUCCAGAGAUGCAGGAAGGACGGCUGGCAGUAAAGGUAGAAGAGGAAGAGGGGGAUUGUGCCUCUGGGCAGGAAUCUGGCCCGUGGAGAGAUCACCCGCAUAGCAGAGAGAUCUUCCGUAAACGCUUCAGGCAGUUCUGCUACCAGGAGACCCCUGGACCCCGCGAAGCUCUUCGAAGGCUCCGCGAGCUGUGCCGCCAGUGGCUGAGCCCAGAAACGCACAGCAAGGAGCAGAUCCUGGAGCUGCUGGUGCUGGAGCAGUUCCUGACCAUCCUGCCCGAGGAGCUCCAGGCCUGGGUGCGGGGACAGCACCCGGAGAGCGGGGAGCAGGCGGUGACCGUGCUGGAGGAUCUGGAGCGGGAGCUGGACGAGCCGGGAGAGCAGCAGGUUCCAGCCUGUGCCCGUGAGCAGGAAGAGUUGGUGAAGGAGGAGGCAGGUCGGGGAGCAGCCCAGGACUCAUCAAGCGGCCAGCCCCCAACCUUGGAAGGGCCGCGUCAGUGCAGGUCGCGGGAGGUGUGCCUGCUUCGGGAGAUCGGGGAUGAGGCUGGGGCUUGGAGUGUGCAGUCAGCCCCGAAGAGGGAGCUCUGUAAAGAGAAGAAACAUCUUGUGGAAGUUCCUGAGAAACUGAACGGUGACACUCUUCUGGGGCCUGAGUGUGCAGACACAUGUGACCAGGAGGGCAGGUGGGAGAGGCAGCGGGCCAGCUCCUCGGCGGAGAGACCCUACGUCUGCGGUGAGUGUGGGAAGAGCUUCACCCAGAACUCCAUCCUGAUCGAGCACCAGAGGACACACACCGGGGAGAAGCCCUACGGGUGUGAUGAGUGCGGACGGGCCUUCAGCCAGCGCUCGGGUCUGUUCCAGCACCAGAGACUCCACACCGGAGAGAAGCAUUACCGCUGUGGCAUCUGUGGCAAAGCGUUCAGCCAGAACGCGGGGCUCUUCCAUCACCUCCGGAUCCACACGGGGGAGAAGCCCUUCCAGUGCGGCCAGUGCAGGAAGAGCUUCAGCCGACGUUCUGUCCUCAUUAAGCAUCAGCGAAUUCACACUGGAGAAAGGCCUUAUGAAUGUGAAGACUGUGGCAAGAACUUUAUUUAUCACUGCAACCUCGUCCAGCAUCGGAAGGUCCACCCUGGGGUGGGUGCCGCUAGCCCCCUGGAGCAGGUAGGGCAGAGGUCACACCCAGUUUUCCAUGCCAAUGUCUCAGCUCUAUGAUGAAGCCGCUGCUUCUGAAUAUAUACCUGUGUUAGAAUCACCUGGGUUGUUUGAACUGCAGUUUCCUGGGCACUACCACAGACUGGCUGAAUGUUUGUGAGGGCAGGACCUGGGAAUCUGCAUUUCAGCUAGCGUAUCGGUGGUUGUCAGACUUGAGGUAGCUAUAUAUAAUGUAUUGCCCAAUCUAGGACACUUCUGAGAAUGAAAGGGAUUGCUGUUAAUAAUUACAGCCAGCCAAGAGGCAUAAAUCAGGAUGUAUGGUCUUCCUACUUAAGACUUUUCCUGCUGAGGAGAUAGAAGAAGAAGAGACAGAAAGAAUACAAUGUUCUCAUGAAAGCUAAGGUAGAGCAUCUAUGAAGGAGGCUGUGGGAUGUUUAGGUGUAGCCACCUAGACCAAAGUAGCCACCAUCUGCCUGGUUUGAAAUAAUCCCCAUUAACACAUUUAUCGGAUUAGGUAAGAAGGGGUGGGUAUGCCUAUAAAAACAACACCCACCCGGAAAAGCCCCCCCCCCCCCAAAAAAAACCCACAAACAACAACAAAACGCUUAAAAUAGCUAGUUACCUAAGAUGAGCCUGUUGAGACUAUGGCUUACCAGACAAGAGAGAUGACGUUCCAGAAGCAUAGGAGCAUUUCAGUGGUAUAGGAUCGAUGGACCAGUAUGGGCUGUUCACCUCUAACAUACAGAGGAAGCGUGGGAAUAUAGCGCGCCAGAUCACAACCUUGCAGGAAUAAGGCAGAGGGCAAGCCGUUUGAAGCAAGUAGCUAGGAUGAAUGAGGUCCAGAGAUUGUGCCAAGUUUCCUAAGUUAUCAUAAUUGAUGCACAUUCUUCACGGGCUGUGCAACCAGAGCGCUCUUAACACCGCAGGGUACCAAACACAAGCUGACGAGGCCCCACAUUCCGCAGUUGCCCCGGGGCCAUUCACAGCGGGGACCGGGCAUGUGGCUUCCCCUCACUUUCUGCUAAUUCUGCAGAGUCAGGGAUCUGUAAGUGGUUAGGUUGCUCAAAAGGACCGGAGUCACAUGCACAAAGAUUGAGACGGUGGACAGCAAGCCAGCACCUGCCCCUCUUAAUACCGCUUUGCUCAGGUGGGUGUCGAUUAUUGCUUCGGACCCUGGGGGCCGAGUGGGCAAUGGGUAUCACGGGACCAGGGUACUAGGGAACGGAGGACUGCGUCGCAUUCCCUCAGUGUAACAGAGAGACGGGCCCAGGCUGAGUGGCUGCUGGACACCCGGUGGACCCGCCUGCGCUGUGCAGAGGCCACCGUGGGCCCCUGCGGUGGGAGCCGGCCAACCACUGAGAUGCGGGACCUCUGUGCUUCCUAGAGGGGCGGUGAGGAGCGGGUGGAGGCGUGCCCGGGCGUUGUGACGUACUUCCGGUCUCGUGUGAGCCACAGCUAGCGCGAGCCUUUUCCGGCGGGAGGCGCCCGCGAGGCUUGGUGGCCGCUCCCCGAGACGCAGGUUCGUCUGUGUCGCCGCCCGCGGACGUGGACGCGAGCGCUGCGCGGACCACCCGCUUCGGGGCUCCGGGCGCUGGUGCGUCUUUACGGCCGGCGGCGGUUUUCUGUCCCCCUCCGGAGUCCUGUUUUCAUCGAGGCCUUCGUGGCGGUGGUCAUGACCUUGCACGCCUGUGCCGGGAGGGUUCGUCUCGGAGGACGUAUGGUGACGGGGUCUCAGGACUUAGAAAACGGAGGAAAGUGUGAUUUCCUUGGCUCAGAGAACGUUGAGAAGUGAGCGCGUCCUUCGAGCGGACAUGGGCUGCCGGUCGCGUAGUGCGGGUCUCCAGGUGCUUUUAAGACCCCCCCAGCUCACAGUGCCGUGGGGAAGAGGGGGACACCCCUGCGAUACCGCGCGGAUGCCCGGAGCCGGGGGUGGGGGCACCUCCCGGUGAGGCGGAGAGCUGAGCGGAAACGGGCGGCAGGAGGCAGCCGAGGGAAGGUGGGUGUGCUGUGGCCGGGGCAGAGAGGAUGAGCAGGUGACAGCUGCGAUACCCCAGGGAACUUGGACUUGAAAAGGCAGUGUGCCUCUCCGUCCUUUCCGUGUGACGGCUCCCGCAGAGAAUGCACGCGAUGUGUGUGCGCACAUCUGCCUCGCAGAAGGGAGCAGGCCCCGGCUACGCUGCCCCGGGUCCGCGCGCGGCCACCUCGUGGCCCAGGUGGUCAAUGUGCUGGCGCUGCUCCGGGAGGCGGACUCCGCAGAGACGGGAGUCCCUGUCUUCACGCACGGGAGUAGCGUCAUCUUACUAGGCUUCUAGAAAUUCCAGGAGCGUGGUGGCAAAUGGAUUGGAAGGGGGUAGGACUGGAAACAAGAGAGAGGAGAGAUGCGCAGGCGUCACGAAAAGAGCCGGUACUGUAAGUUGGUGAAAGCCAGGUGCUGGCCGUGGAAGUGACGAGGGUGGAGUGGAUUGUGUGGAAGACGCGGAUUUAACUCCACUUGGUGUCUGAGGGAGAAAGAUUGUUGAAAAGGUGCUGAGGACAAUGCCCGGCACGUGGUACGUAUUACGAGCUUUAUUUUCAAUAUAGUUAGGGAUAAUUAGGUUUUUGGAUUAGAUAGAUGGUAAGGGGAAUGAAUGUGUCAUUUUUAAAGAAAUGGGUAGGCCCGCCUGAAUGGCUCAGUCGUUAAGUGUCCAGCUCUUGGUUUCGGCUCAAGAUCUUGUGGUUUGUGGGAGCCCUAGUUGGGCUCUGUGCUGACAGCCAGAGCAAAGUAAAGUUAAAAAAAAAAAAAAGAAGAAAUGAGUAAUUUUGGAAGAGCCAUUGAUUAUGAGGGGAAAAUGAUGAGUUAAUUUUUGGUGGUGUUGAGGUGCUUUUAAGACCUAGGACUGGAAGAGUCUUAUGCCAUUGGACUAUAAUGGUCUUGAUUUCCAAAGUAAGACUGGGAAAAGAGAAUAGAUUUAGGAGUUGUUAGGUGAAAGCGUCUCAGUUCUCAGAUGCUACUGAAUGGACGAGAUUGCCCAGAAUGAAGUGGAAUGAGAAGGCCGGAUCCCGGCUUAGGGUAACCGGACAUUUCUUGGCAAGCUGAAGAAGAGCCAUAAAGUGGACUUAAGAAUGAGCUUUUGACAAGCCCUUAUAGAAGCUUGAGCACCGAGUGUUGGUCUAAGCACUUUACAAAAGCCAGCUCAUGGGAAAACAGCCAGAAGAUUGCAGUUCCUUAGAAGAUUGGGAGUGGCUAGAGCGUUAGGAGCUGCAGAGGCAUCUGGUAAGUAAAGGACCGGAAAAUACUCACUGGGUUUGUAUACAAGGGGGACUUUGGUUAAUUGACUUGGGACCCCUAACUCAAAUGUGGGACACCCCAACUGACAUGCACACUGUUCUUUUCUAAAACUAAAAAUGCCUUUGAAAGAAUCUAGCAUAAUUCUUGGCACAGAGAGGUUGAUUUAUAAAUAUGAUUGACUAAAUCUGUGACACGCAAUUCAAGUAAGCAAAGCUGUUUGCAUUGUUUUUGUUAUCGGGAUAUUUCACGUUAUCUGAAUAUUUCACUUCAGUUUCUAGAUCUAAAAGCUACUAGUAUUGUUCUUUAGUCCUAAAGUAACUGAAUUGUCUAUAAGUCAAUUUUAGGACAUUUUUCUAAUGACAUUUUGUGCUUGUCUUAUCUUUACAGGGCGUCUUUACGUUCAAAUCAUUGACUUGACCACAGCAAUUCACUCUGAGUAAAUAUGUUCUUCGUUUGGAGUUGAUCUCUGUUAACAGUGAUGUGUUAUGCCUUAUCACCAGCUUUAUUAAGCCCCUGCUACUGUUGUGGUGAACUGCUUUGCCCAGGUGUGAUUCAGUCCAACCCUUUUGGGCUGCAGAAGAACAGAAGGGAUGUCAAAUAGUUAAAGCAUCUAGCCUGCACAGAAAUGGUGCUUCUGACAGUUCUUCGGACAAAACUCAUGGCAGUUCUGUUAGGAGGAUUCCCUUGGGCCUCAGGAGUCCAGCUCCAGGCAGGCUCUCCACCGCCAGUAGCUGCGGCCCGAGACGCACAGCAAGGAGCAGAUCCUGGAGCUGCUGGUGCUGGAGCAGCUCAUGACCAUCCUGCCCACGGAGCUCCCGGCCUGGGUGUGGGGGCAGCAUCCAGUGUAUAGGGAGGAGGCUGUUACUGGACUGGGGGCUUGUUGAGGAAGCUGGACCAUCCAGGAGGAAGGUGAGAUAAGGAAGAAACAAUCUAUCGCCAGAGGCAGGUAUUCUCUCCAGAGAGAGAGCAGAGACUUGAAGUUUCCUCUCAAGUGUAGUGAGAGGAAAUGGCUAAGAUGCAUUGGCCAGAGUUGUGUUCCCCUCCCUGUCCAUUUAUUCCCUGUCCUUGUAGGUCAAAGGAAACGCUGCUUUCUGUCCUCCUCUUCUGUUCCCCGAUUAAUACUGGGAUCUAAGCUCUAGAACCCUAGCAGAUAUCCCCCUGGUCAAAUUUCUCUAAUUGUCCCUGGGUCCUUUGUCCUCCUAUGGGGACAGGAAGGGCAAACGAGGGCCCUAAGGGCAAAUGGCUUGCCUGGCAGCAGCAUUAAGACUCACGGGGCGGGGAGGGCAGGGCAGCUCCAGCCAGAAACAGGGCAGCUCAGUUCUGAAUCUACUGAGGAGAAAGAGGAGGUCCUACUGGGGAAAAGAUCAGAAAUGUCUUUUGCAUUUUUCCAAAUGAACCUCAUCACUAAACCUUUUGCCUACCUUUCACUUGAUGUCUUGUUUCAUUUUUACCUUGUCCCUCUAAGCACAUUGUUUUAACCUUGAUUGUCAUUCUCCCUUCACUACUUUGCACCGACGUUGUUGGAAAUCCUGCUUCUAUUGAAUGGUUGUUUCUCCAUUCUAACUGAAUACUGCCAGCUUCCCUGGGCCUGACCUUUUAUGCCAAAGGCAGGACAGCAUUUUUCUACAUUGAAGCCAAUAGAAAAUGACUCAAAGGCUACAUACAAUAGAAAAGUUAUUAAAUGUGCAUUCUCAAAGACUUUGUGUAGAAAACAAAACUUAUUUAGUAUUUCUGUGUGCUCAUUGGACAAGCACACAUAUAUGCCCAAAUUGUAAUCAUACUGAACAUCCCAACUGACACUACUUUUAAAUUUAGUAUUACAUUAUGGACAUAUUUCCCAAGAGUUACAUGUAAUGUAUACAUAUGGCUGACAUAAGUUCCAUUGUACAGAUAUCAAAUUAUUUUUCAUUUUUACUUUAAUCAGGUCUUUAUUAAAAAUUAGCUGUCCAGAAUGAUUUGACAUUUAUGGAACAAAUAAACUGAAGCUUAUGCAGCAGGCUUCUUGUCUUACAUGGUGAUUUGGUCAAAAUGGAAAAUGAGAAGGUGUUUCCAAAGCAGAAGAAAUCUGAAGAAAUAACAUGCCAACAGGGACACACUGCUAGAUUUGAUGGCAAUAUUCUUAAGUGCCUGAAUUAUGUAGAAGUCCCAAAAUACCAGAGAACCCUAGAAAUAGAUCUAUGAUUGCAUAAGUGAUGAAUGUGGAAUGAGUUUCAGAGCUUCAUCCUUAUCCAGCAUCUGAGAUACACAGGAGAAAUGCCGUGAAGAUGAGAAAUGUGGAAAAGCUUUUAGUCUGAGAGUGCUGGCUUCAUUGAAGAUAAGAGAAUUCCCACUGAAUUAGACCCACAAAUAUGGAGAAUAUGGAAAAGCUCUCAGUGCAGACACUGGACUAGUUCAUCAUAGAGAACCCAUGCUGGAGAGAGACCCUAUAAUAAAAGUGACAAGUAUGGUAAAGCCUUGGACGGUCAGCCCUUAACCAGGACCAGAGACUUCACACCAAGGAGAGGUGUUACCAUCUUAACGAGUGUGGGAAAGGUUACAGUCAGAACACAGAGAUUUUUCACUAUCAGAGUCUGUGUUGGAGAGAAACUCUUCGUUUAAUCGAUGUAGUAAGAAUUUUCCUGGAUAUUUCAUUCCUUAUUAAAUACCAGACAACUC